rnacentral:rRNA from 1 species
CCUACGGGCGGCAGCAGUGGGGAAUAUUGGACAAUGGGCGAAAGCCUGAUCCAGCCAUGCCGCGUGUGUGAAGAAGGCCUUCGGGUUGUAAAGCACUUUCAGUGGGGAAGAAAGCCUUGGGGCUAAUACCCUCGAGGAAGUACAUCACCCACAGAAGAAGCACCGGCUAACUCCGUGCCAGCAGCCGCGGUAAUACGGAGGGUGCGAGCGUUAAUCGGAAUUACUGGGCGUAAAGCGCGCGUAGGCGGUCUGAUAAGCCGGUUGUGAAAGCCCCGGGCUCAACCUGGGAACGGCAUCCGGAACUGUCAGGCUAGAGUGCAGGAGAGGAAGGUAGAAUUCCCGGUGUAGCGGUGAAAUGCGUAGAGAUCGGGAGGAAUACCAGUGGCGAAGGCGGCCUUCUGGACUGACACUGACGCUGAGGUGCGAAAGCGUGGGUAGCAAACAGGAUUAGAUACCCGGGUAGUC